rnacentral:rRNA from 1 species
AGUGGCGAACGGGUGAGUAAUGUAUCGGAACGUGCCCAGUAGCGGGGGAUAACUACGCGAAAGCGCAGCUAAUACCGCAUACGCCCUACGGGGGAAAGCAGGGGAUCGCAAGACCUUGCACUAUUGGAGCGGCCGAUAUCGGAUUAGCUAGUUGGUGGGGUAACGGCUCACCAAGGCGACGAUCCGUAGCUGGUUUGAGAGGACGACCAGCCACACUGGGACUGAGACACGGCCCAGACUCCUACGGGAGGCAGCAGUGGGGAAUUUUGGACAAUGGGGGAAACCCUGAUCCAGCCAUCCCGCGUGUGCGAUGAAGGCCUUCGGGUUGUAAAGCACUUUUGGCAGGAAAGAAACGUCAUGGGUUAAUACCCCGUGAAACUGACGGUACCUGCAGAAUAAGCACCGGCUAACUACGUGCCAGCAGCCGCGGUAAUACGUAGGGUGCAAGCGUUAAUCGGAAUUACUGGGCGUAAAGCGUGCGCAGGCGGUUCGGAAAGAAAGAUGUGAAAUCCCAGAGCUUAACUUUGGAACUGCAUUUUUAACUACCGGGCUAGAGUGUGUCAGAGGGAGGUGGAAUUCCGCGUGUAGCAGUGAAAUGCGUAGAUAUGCGGAAGAACACCGAUGGCGAA